rnacentral:rRNA from 1 species
UGGGGAAUAUUGCGCAAUGGGCGAAAGCCUGACGCAGCGACGCCGCGUGGGUGAUGAAGGCCUUCGGGUCGUAAAGCCCUGUCGGGAGGGACGAAAUCUUGCCGACCUAAUACGUCGGUGACUUGACGGUACCUCCAAAGGAAGCACCGGCUAACUCCGUGCCAGCAGCCGCGGUAAUACGGAGGGUGCAAGCGUUGUUCGGAAUCACUGGGCGUAAAGCGCGUGUAGGCGGCCUCUUAAGUCCGAUGUGAAAGCCCGGGGCUCACCCCCGGAAGUGCAUUGGAUACUGAAAGGCUGGAGUACCGGAGAGGAGGGUGGAAUUCCUGGUGUAGCGGUGAAAUGCGUAGAUAUCAGGAGGAACACCUGUGGCGAAGGCGGCCCUCUGGACGGAUACUGACGCUGAGACGCGAAAGCGUGGGGAGCAAACAGGAUUAGAUACCCCCGUAGUCC